CUCGUUGACCUGAUGCUCAGGCGGAAGUAGGGCCUUCGGCCCGAAGCAACGCACC
rnacentral:ncRNA from 2 species